CCCUACGGGGUGCACCAGGUCCAAAAAUUUGCCCCAUCAUGGAUUCUUUCGAACCCACGCCAGGCAAACAAUGCGAUGAUCACCAGCAAUCCGAUUAGAAUCAACCCCUGUGCACUAAUCCCUUCCUCUCCUUUGGUUGGAUCAAAGGGAACCAAUCGAUAUAAUGUCUCCUGCAACGUGUCCAUCCCCCGUAUAGGAAGGGUGAAGGAGGCAUAUGUAUUGGAGAGGAAAUUAAGUUUGAGGGUGCCGGAAAGCAGCAAUGCCACCAGGAUUAGUAAAAAUAUCGUGCGCCCUUUGCGCAUUUUCUCGUGUUGCGAAAAAGCAUCAUCUAAAUUCGAAAUCCGUGCUUCAGCCUCUUUGCGGAAAAUUAAAGACAUGAUCAUACCGAUUCCGAUGCCAAACGUCAGCGAAAUGAAUUGGCGGGAGAGC
rnacentral:rRNA from 1 species